rnacentral:lncRNA from 1 species
CCAAAUCCUCUUGAAUCCCCAAUCUAUAACAAUUUUUUUUUUUUUGCUUCAAACCCUUACCAAACCUUCACAUAACUAAUUCCAGUAACAUCAUCCAGAAUCUCCCAUCCACACCAAUAAACAUAAGACCAAAGAUAUAAGAUUCCCUCAAUACAAAAAAAUAAUUUUUACAAAUCCAUAAACCAUGCGGUAUACACGAGUUGCUACACAUAGUCAUUCAAGGAACACCUUUCACCAAUCACCGUCGGCGAGAAGAAGAAGAAAACAAAGAGGGUCGUCGGCCUACCUUACCCAGUUCAGACCAUAUAGAAGUGGAUUAAUCGUUGUCUUGAUCCCAUCACUGGCAUGUGCCUUCCACCACUUCCAGCCGAUGGAUCAUGCUCCGGCGCCCACCACGACCUCUGGAUGACCACCGUAGAAGAAGGAAGAGAGCCUCAUAACCUGCUAUUUCGUUCCAUCGUGCCAUCACUGUGAAAGCCGCUGACCGCCGCUAUGAUUGGUGCUGCAUGUAGGGAUUUCAUUCCCUUUAGUAGUUGAAGCCAACAGGGGUAACACGGUUACCCCUUUCUUUUUAAUGCUUAUUUUAUUCUUUAUUUUUUUAGUUUUCUUCAUUUAGUUUUUUUAGUUUAUUUGUUGCAAUUUCUUUUUAAUUCCUUUUCAUGGCACCAUGAGGUAUUGGG